AGAGUUUGAUCAUGGCUCAGGACUAACGCUGGCGGCGUGCCUAACACAUGCAAGUCGAACGCAUCUGUGCUUCGGUACAGAUGAGUGGCGAACGGGUGAGUAACACGUGAGUAACUCCCCUGGGGGAGGGGGAUAACCAUCUGAAAGGGUGGCUAAUACCCCAUAUUCUCUUUUCUCAUAAGAGGAAAGAGGAAAGAUGGCGUAAGCUAUCACCCCGAGAGAGGCUCGCGUCCCAUCAGCUAGUUGGUAAGGUAAGAGCUUACCAAGGCUAUGACGGGUAGCUGGUCUGAGAGGAUGGUCAGCCACACUGGGACUGAGACACGGCCCAGACUCCUACGGGAGGCAGCAGUGAGGAAUCUUGGGCAAUGGGCGAAAGCAUGACCCAGCGACGCCGCGUGGAGGAAGAAGGCCUUCGGGUCGUAAACUCCUGUUCGGGGAGAAGAACAGGAGGGAAGUGAAUAACUUCUCUCCCUGACGGUAUCCUCGGAGAAAGCUCCGGCUAAUUACGUGCCAGCAGCCGCGGUAAUACGUAAGGAGCGAGCGUUGUCCGGAUUUACUGGGCGUAAAGAGCUCGUAGGUGGUUUCUUAGGUCUCACGUGAAAUUCCCUGGCUCAACUGGGGAGGGUCGUGGGAAACCGAGAAGCUAGAGGGCAGGAGAGGAGAGUGGAAUUCCCGGUGUAGCGGUGAAAUGCGUAGAGAUCGGGAGGAACACCAGUGGUGAAGACGGCUCUCUGGACUGUCCCUGACACUGAGGAGCGAAAGCCAGGGGAGCGAACCGGAUUAGAUACCCGGGUAGUCCUGGCCGUAAACGAUGGGUACUAGGUGUGGGGGGUUCGACCCCCUCCGUGCCGCAGUUAACGCAUUAAGUACCCCGCCUGGGGAGUACGGCCGCAAGGUUGAAACUCAAAUGAAUUGACGG
rnacentral:rRNA from 1 species